rnacentral:sRNA from 1 species
GAACAAGGGAAGUGGAACGCAAUCGAAGUAGAGCGAUAUUCUUCUUGUCAAAUCUUUAUUUUUACAAAAACGCAUCGGUUCAGUAUUUUAAUCAAAAUUUGAGGACUCUUAAUGUUUACUUUGUUUUAUAAUAGCGUAUUGUAUUGCAAAGUUAUAUGAUAAUAGGAUUAUUGUCAAUGUAUUUUUUAAUUGGAUGAGAACCAUAAAGGUCAACCAUGGCUAAAAAGUGAGUGAUCUAAUUGAUGCUUAUGAAAAAGGCGUAAAAAGCGUAUACAUAGACUAAUUUACAUGUCUGGGUCCAAGUCACCGAUGGCGUUUUUGAUUAGUUCUGUAAUUAUCACAAAUCUCAAUAGAAAAAAAUUAAUUUUUUUUAAUGAAAUGCCAGAAUGUAUAAAAUUGAAAUUCAAAAUAUUGAUAAAUUCAAAA